rnacentral:lncRNA from 1 species
CAGGGAGGGAGGGAGCGCGGGGCGGCGCGCGCCCUCUGGUGGAGCGCGCGGGGAGCAGGCCGGGCUCUCCCGGUGCGGUUAAACGAACGGUAACACGCACUGCUCGUCCGCCGCUCUGCUUCCUCUCGACAUCCUUUGGCUGUUUUCAUCGCUCGUGUUUAUUUCCGACUACCAUCAAGAGUAGUAGCUCGUGACAGCCUUAAGCAUCUCGGUAAAAAUAAGAUUUUUCUAGCCGAUACCAUACAAGGCAACACUCUACAUAAAAAGGCAAUGGCUAAACCGAGACAAAGUAACUUACAGACCCCAGAAGCCAAGCAGGAGCUGCAUUACAACCUGAAAAAGGGCCUGCACAUCUGAGGCCUGGCACGGAUCAAGAAAACGUACCCAUGAGGUGACAGAGUAGAGUUUUCUUGUUGGGUUUUGGCAAAGGGAAGAAAUAAAUAUUUUUUAAACAGUGACGUAACUUGGACUUCUCCCACUUGAGACAAAACUUGAGAACUUGCUGCGAAGUCUGGGGGAGAAAUUACAUGAAGGAGGAGGAUUCCACCUCUAAUAUCAGCCCUGGAAGGAAGUGAUAAUCCUGCCAGCAUUAGCAGCCUGGACAUCUGGAAAAACGUGACUCUUAAUAUCCAGAGCUGCCUUUGCUGUUCUGACCACAGCUUGCCACUCUGAUCCUCUGAUCUCUUGACAGUGGUUCUGAUCCCACUGCCAGCGAGAAACAGUGCCUGCUGCAUGUGAGGAUGGGGGAUAAAGAGACGGCUUGGUAGACUGUCAUUGGAAGAUCAUGAGAUGGGAUCUCCAUAUUUUAUGGUUAUCUAGAGAAUGAAUCUGAUCUCAAUUUAUCAGGAUUACUUAACCUCAGUGGCAUGAGUUUUCUCGUAGGUGAGUUUGGAGCUAAGAAGGAUCUCCAUUAGCUUGACUAGUAAAAAUAUGUUGGUUAAUGGAUUCUACUAGACAUUCACAUUUAGAUUGAUUACUCUGUUAUACUGUUAUGAAGUACAAAAAAUUUGCCACCCAUUCUCCGCCUCAGAAGCACACAUCUGUGUUCAAUAGCAAUCACUAUCAAGGAAGUU